rnacentral:sRNA from 1 species
UAUUCUGCCCUAAGGGGAAGGAUGAGAAGCUUCGACUAAGGUUCGACUCGAGCGUCAGCGAGAGAACGUUGCCGCAGGCAACGGCCCGAAGGGCGAGGCGCUUUAGCGCCGAGUAAUCCUUCCCCCACCACCA